rnacentral:rRNA from 1 species
UACAGAGGGUGCGAGCGUUAAUCGGAAUUACUGGGCGUAAAGCGCACGUAGGUGGCGACGUAAGUCGGGUGUGAAAGCCCCGGGCUCAACCUGGGAAUUGCAUUCGAGACUGCAUUGCUGGAGUACGGAAGAGGAGGGCGGAAUUCCCGGUGUAGCGGUGAAAUGCGCAGAUAUCAGGAGGAACACCGGUGGCGAAGGCGGAUCUCUGGGCCUUACCUGACGCUCAGGCACGAAAGCUAGGGGAGCGAACAGG